GAUGAAGAACGCAGCGAAAUGCGAUAAGUAAUGCGAAUUGCAGAAUUUCCGUGAGCCAUCGAAUCUUUGAACGCACAUUGCGCCUCCUGGUAUUCCAGGGAGCAUGCCUGUUCGAGCGUCAUUUAGCAACCAUCGAGCGAGUUUUGCCUCGCUUGGGUCUGGGGGAUGGUUGAACCUCGGUGCACCCACCCCCGAAAUACAACGGCGGACAACCCACCCGUGGAACUGCAGCGUAGUAAGUCAUUCUUUCGCGAGUGGCCACCGAGGGACUGUCCGGCCGGUGAAACCCCCCAAAUCCAAUGGUUGACCUCGGAUCAGGUAGGGAUACCCACUGAACUUAAGCAUAUCAAUAAGCGGAGGA
rnacentral:misc_RNA from 1 species